rnacentral:rRNA from 1 species
AGAGUUUGAUCCUGGCUCAGAACGAACGCUGGCGGCGUGCCUAACACAUGCAAGUCGAACGUGAUUAGAGAGCUUGCUCUCUAUGAAAGUGGCGCACGGGUGAGUAACGCGUAGAUAAUCUACCUGGUGAUUUGGGAUAACACUUCGAAAGGGGUGCUAAUACCGAAUAAGCCCACAGGGUCCUUGGACCCAGCGGGAAAAGGAGGGGACCUUCGGGCCUUCCGUCAUCAGAUGAGUCUGCGUACCAUUAGCUAGUUGGUAGGGUAAAGGCCUACCAAGGCGACGAUGGUUAGCUGGUCUGAGAGGAUGAUCAGCCACACUGGAACUGAGACACGGUCCAGACUCCUACGGGAGGCAGCAGUGGGGAAUUUUGCGCAAUGGGGGAAACCCUGACGCAGCAACGCCGCGUGAGUGAUGAAGGCCCUUGGGUCGUAAAGCUCUGACAGAGGGAAAGAAAUGUGGGUGGCUAAUAUCCAUUCCACUUGACGGUACCCUCAAAGGAAGCACCGGCUAACUCCGUGC